rnacentral:rRNA from 1 species
UACGAAGGGUGCAAGCGUUACUCGGAAUUACUGGGCGUAAAGCGUGCGUAGGUGGUGAGUUAAGUCUGUCGUGAAAGCCCCGGGCUCAACCUGGGAAUGGCGAUGGAUACUGGCUCGCUAGAGUGCGGUAGAGGAGACUGGAAUUCCCGGUGUAGCAGUGAAAUGCGUAGAUAUCGGGAGGAAUACCGAUGGCGAAGGCAGGUCUCUGGGCUGACACUGACGCUCAUGCACGAAAGCGUGGGGAGCAAACAGG